rnacentral:rRNA from 1 species
UGACCUCGGAUCAGGUAGGAAUACCCGCUGAACUUAAGCAUAUCAAUAAGCGGAGGAAAAGAAACCAACAGGGAUUGCCCCAGUAACGGCGAGUGAAGCGGCAACAGCUCAAAUUUGAAAUCUGGCCCCCGGGCCCGAGUUGUAAUUUGCAGAGGAUGCUUUUGGCGAGGUGCCUUCCGAGUUCCCUGGAACGGGACGCCAUAGAGGGUGAGAGCCCCGUACGGUCGGACACCAAGCCUCUGUAAAGCUCCUUCGACGAGUCGAGUAGUUUGGGAAUGCUGCUCAAAAUGGGAGGUAUAUUUCUUCUAAAGCUAAAUACCGGCCAGAGACCGAUAGCGCACAAGUAGAGUGAUCGAAAGAUGAAAAGCACUUUGAAAAGAGGGUUAAACAGCACGUGAAAUUGUUAAAAGGGAAGCGCUUGUGACCAGACUUGCGGCCGGUGAAUCACCCAGCUCUCGCGGCUGGGGCACUUUGCCGGCUCAGGCCAGCAUCAGCUCGCCGUCGGGGACAAAAGCUUCGGGAACGUAGCUCUCUUCGGGGAGUGUUAUAGCCCGUUGCACAAUACCCUUCGGCGGGCUGAGGUACGCGCUCCGCAAGGAUGCUGGCGUAAUGGUCAUCAGCGACCCGUCUUGAAACACGGACCAAGGAGUCAACCUUAUGUGCGAGUGUUUGGGUGUCAAACCCCUACGCGUAAUGAAAGUGAACGCAGGUGAGAGCUUCGGCGCAUCAUCGACCGAUCCUGAUGUUCUCGGAUGGAUUUGAGUAAGAGCACAUAGGGUUGGACCCGAAAGAAGGUGAACUAUGCGUGUAUAGGGUGAAGCCAGAGGAAACUCUGGUGGAGGCUCGCAGCGGUUCUGACGUGCAAAUCGAUCGUCAAAUAUGCGCAUGGGGGCGAAAGACUAAUCGAACCUU